GACGAACGCUGGCGGCGUGCCUAAUACAUGCAAGUAGAACGCUGAAGAGAGGGGCUUGCUCUUCUUGGAUGAGUUGCGAACGGGUGAGUAACGCGUAGGUAACCUGCCUUGUAGCGGGGGAUAACUAUUGGAAACGAUAGCUAAUACCGCAUAACAAUGGAUGACACAUGUCAUUUAUUUGAAAGGGGCAAUUGCUCCACUACAAGAUGGACCUGCGUUGUAUUAGCUAGUAGGUGAGGUAACGGCUCACCUAGGCGACGAUACAUAGCCGACCUGAGAGGGUGAUCGGCCACACUGGGACUGAGACACGGCCCAGACUCCUACGGGAGGCAGCAGUAGGGAAUCUUCGGCAAUGGGGGCAACCCUGACCGAGCAACGCCGCGUGAGUGAAGAAGGUUUUCGGAUCGUAAAGCUCUGUUGUAAGUCAAGAACGAGUGUGAGAGUGGAAAGUUCACACUGUGACGGUAGCUUACCAGAAAGGGACGGCUAACUACGUGCCAGCAGCCGCGGUAAUACGUAGGUCCCGAGCGUUGUCCGGAUUUAUUGGGCGUAAAGCGAGCGCAGGCGGUUUGAUAAGUCUGAAGUUAAAGGCUGUGGCUCAACCAUAGUUCGCUUUGGAAACUGUCAAACUUGAGUGCAGAAGGGGAGAGUGGAAUUCCAUGUGUAGCGGUGAAAUGCGUAGAUAUAUGGAGGAACACCGGUGGCGAAAGCGGCUCUCUGGUCUGUAACUGACGCUGAGGCUCGAAAGCGUGGGGAGCGAACAGGAUUAGAUACCCUGGUAGUCCACGCCGUAAACGAUGAGUGCUAGGUGUUGGAUCCUUUCCGGGAUUCAGUGCCGCAGCUAACGCAUUAAGCACUCCGCCUGGGGAGUACGACCGCAAGGUUGAAACUCAAAGGAAUUGACGGGGGCCCGCACAAGCGGUGGAGCAUGUGGUUUAAUUCGAAGCAACGCGAAGAACCUUACCAGGUCUUGACAUCCCGAUGCUAUUUCUAGAGAUAGAAAGUUACUUCGGUACAUCGGUGACAGGUGGUGCAUGGUUGUCGUCAGCUCGUGUCGUGAGAUGUUGGGUUAAGUCCCGCAACGAGCGCAACCCCUAUUGUUAGUUGCCAUCAUUCAGUUGGGCACUCUAGCGAGACUGCCGGUAAUAAACCGGAGGAAGGUGGGGAUGACGUCAAAUCAUCAUGCCCCUUAUGACCUGGGCUACACACGUGCUACAAUGGUUGGUACAACGAGUUGCGAGUCGGUGACGGCAAGCUAAUCUCUUAAAGCCAAUCUCAGUUCGGAUUGUAGGCUGCAACUCGCCUACAUGAAGUCGGAAUCGCUAGUAAUCGCGGAUCAGCACGCCGCGGUGAAUACGUUCCCGGGCCU
rnacentral:rRNA from 1 species